UAGUAAAACAAAUCAAAUACAAAGACUAUACAUUACCUGCAUUCAUAAAAAAGUUGGUUAUAGAUUUACCCUAUAAAAGAUCUCAUGGAUAUGUUUAAAAUUUAAAAUAAACCACAUAAAAGUACAAUGAAGGUCUUGGCUAUAUUUAAUUGAUAUAUUUUAAUUUAUGUGACAAUUUAUAUAUUUAUUUUAUAAAACAUAUGAUAGUGACAAUAAUUUUAUAAACCGGGUUAUACCUAUAAUUACCUGGUAGUCGAAUCCUUGGUUGUAUUUCUUAAAAAAAGUAGACGAGCUUACUAGACAUGCUCAAGUCCUGCCAAGUACUUUACCCUGGGUUAAAAAAUGUAAAAAUUCUAAGGAUAACAUAAAAGCAACACCAAAUGAUUAUCACCUUUAAAUUGUUGGUUUCUGAUCGGAAUUUACAACAUACCCUAUGAUAUUUUAACAGAGAGAAUAAUGACGGAUGUACAUUGGGGAAAGCUCAGUUCACAAAUAUUUACAAUUUCUAAGAGUUGUAAACAAAUAAACCUGCUAAGAAAAUAAUAUCAAACUCAAUUACUUUAAUAAAAUGUGUUCAUCUCAUGAUUUUUACAUUAUAAUAACUUCAUAAAUCCAACAAAUCAAAAAUGUUUUAUUUCCUUCAAAUAAAUAAAUACCUAGAUAUUUCUUAAUUAUGAACUAAUACGUGGAUUUUCAGUUUCAAAUAAUUCCAUUCAUUCCAUUCCUAUGUCGUUUUAUUUAUUUGGUUUUCCCACUCUAUGCGUUCGGUCUUGUACCUACCUAAGAUAUACAUAGGUACCUAGGCACAGGUGCGUCAACGCUGUUUUCAUUGUAGGUAGGUAGGUUAGGUAGCCGUGUGUAAUAUGAUUAUGAUUUUAUUUCAUGCAAAUCAAAUGUAAACUUAUCUAAACUGGAUUUAAGGCGAGGCUUAAUGAUGAUGACGAUAACGACGAAAAUAUUUUACGAUCAGCCACGACGCCAUAUCGCCGCCGGCCACCGCCGCCACCACCACUGUGCCGUGUCGGGAUGGGAGAUGAGAGGUAGAAGACCGAAUUCGUUUGACUUUAGUUUGUUGGUUAUUUGUUUUUUUUUGUUAUUUUAUUUUGCAACGAUACGUGUAAUGGAAAUGCACAAUUAUAUAGUUUUUGCCAAUUUCGGGAAAAAAGUUAAUGCUGCUUUUAUUUGAAAAAAAAAAUACCUACAAAAAUUAAACAAAAUGCAUUUGAAUUUAAAUUCAUUUUAAAAUCAUUUUCGUACGAAAAGAAUAUU